UGGGGAAUAUUGCACAAUGGGCGCAAGCCUGAUGCAGCCAUGCCGCGUGUGUGAAGAAGGCCUUCGGGUUGUAAAGCACUUUCAGCGGGGAGGAAGGCGGUGAGGUUAAUAACCUCAUCGAUUGACGUUACCCGCAGAAGAAGCACCGGCUAACUACGUGCCAGCAGCCGCGGUAAUACGUAGGUGGCAAGCGUUGUCCGGAUUUAUUGGGCGUAAAGCGAGCGCAGGCGGUUUCUUAAGUCUGAUGUGAAAGCCCCCGGCUCAACCGGGGAGGGUCAUUGGAAACUGGGAGACUUGAGUGCAGAAGAGGAGAGUGGAAUUCCAUGUGUAGCGGUGAAAUGCGUAGAUAUAUGGAGGAACACCAGUGGCGAAGGCGGCUCUCUGGUCUGUAACUGACGCUGAGGCUCGAAAGCGUGGGGAGCAAACAGG
rnacentral:rRNA from 1 species